rnacentral:rRNA from 1 species
CCUACGGGGGGCUGCAGUGGGGAAUAUUGGACAAUGGGUGGAACCCUGAUCCAGCCAUGCCGCGUGUGUGAAGAAGGCCCUCGGGUUGUAAAGCACUUUCAGUGAGGAAGAACGCCUGGUGGUUAAUACCCAUCAGGAAAGACAUCACUCACAGAAGAAGCACCGGCUAACUCCGUGCCAGCAGCCGCGGUAAUACGGAGGGUGCGAGCGUUAAUCGGAAUUACUGGGCGUAAAGCGCGCGUAGGUGGCUUGAUAAGCCGGUUGUGAAAGCCCCGGGCUCAACCUGGGAACGGCAUCCGGAACUGUCAAGCUAGAGUGCAGGAGAGGAAGGUAGAAUUCCCGGUGUAGCGGUGAAAUGCGUAGAGAUCGGGAGGAAUACCAGUGGCGAAGGCGGCCUUCUGGACUGACACUGACACUGAGGUGCGAAAGCGUGGGUAGCAAACAGGAUUAGAUACCCUGGUAGUC